AUGAGCAUGUUCAAAAAAAUCAAAAAUCAAUUGUCGACAAGGUUUUAUAGCAAGAACAAGGAAAGUGAAGAGUGGUGUGGAACAAUUUGUCCCAAGAUCAAAAAGAUACUUGAUAAGAAUGCAGAAAUGGCUAAUAAUUGUCAGGCAUUGCCUUCUGGCAAAGGCAUCUUUACUGUCUUAGGACUCAGAGGCGAGUACAAGGUUGACAUAAACAAAUACACAUGUUCAUGCAAAGCUUGGCAGCUAACAGGCAUACCAUGUAGACAUGGCAUCUCUUGUCUCAGAGGUGAAAGAAUCAAACCAGAGAAUGUUGUCUCUCCAUGCUAUAGUAUUGCAGCAUUCAAGAAAGUAUAUGGUGAAUUUAUUAUGCCUUGCAGAGACCCAAGAGAGUGGGAAAAGGUGAAUGCUGCUCCAAUCUUGCCACCCCUAUACGAAAAGCAUGUUGGGAGGCCUAGCAAUAAAAGAAAGAAGAACCCUGUAGAGACUGAUGAAGGAAAGUUGAGCAAGCAUGGUGCGGUUUCUCACUGCAGUAUUUGUAGGUCAGUUGAUCAUAAUAAAAGAACUUGCCCUGAAAAAGGUAGACAGGAGCAACAAGAUGAGGCAAGGCAAGGGGAGUAG
rnacentral:rRNA from 1 species